rnacentral:rRNA from 1 species
CACGUAGGGUGCGAGCGUUGUCCGGAAUUAUUGGGCGUAAAGAGCUCGUAGGCGGUCCGUCACGUCGGAUGUGAAAAUUCCAGGGCUCAACCCUGGACCUGCAUUCGAUACGGGCGGACUAGAGUUCGGUAGGGGAGACUGGAAUUCCUGGUGUAGCGGUGAAAUGCGCAGAUAUCAGGAGGAACACCGGUGGCGAAGGCGGUUCUCUGGGCAUUACCUGACGCUGAGGAGCGAAAGUGUGGGGAGCGAACAGG